GAAGGAAUGAUUGCAGACCAGGAAGAAGAAAUGAGUCAUUUAAAAGAAGAGUACAAAAGAGAGCCUAAUAUACUAUCCCUGCCUGGAGAACUAGAGGACUUAAAGAAAUCACAGUCCAGAUUUUUGUGGCACUCCAUAACUCUCUCUGUAUAUUGACAUACAGUCGGUGGUGGUGGUGAAAGAAGAAACUCUCCCUGAACACCAGGAAUGGAA